rnacentral:rRNA from 1 species
CGGAGGGAGCUAGCGUUGUUCGGAAUUACUGGGCGUAAAGAGCGCGUAGGCGGCUAAUUAAGUUGGAAGUGAAAUCCCAGGGCUUAACCCUGGAAUUGCUUUCAAAACUGGUUAGCUAGAGGACGAUAGAGGAUGGUGGAAUUCCUAGUGUAGAGGUGAAAUUCUUAGAUAUUAGGAGGAACAUCGGAGGCGAAGGCGACCAUCUGGGUCGUAUCUGACGCUGAGGCGCGAAAGCGUGGGGAGCAAACAGGAUUAGAUACCCUGGUAGUCCACGCUGUAAACGAUGAGUGCUCGAUAUCGGAACUUGUUUUCGGUGUCGGAGCUAACGCGUUAAGCACUCCGCCUGGGGAGUAAGGUCGCAAGAUUA